rnacentral:rRNA from 1 species
UGGGGAAUAUUGCGCAAUGGGGGGAACCCUGACGCAGCCAUGCCGCGUGAAUGAAGAAGGCCUUAGGGUUGUAAAGUUCUUUCGGUAUUGAGGAAGGUUGAUGUGUUAAUAGCACAUCAAAUUGACGUUAAAUACAGAAGAAGCACCGGCUAAUUCCGUGCCAGCAGCCGCGGUAAUACGGAGGGUGCGAGCGUUAAUCGGAAUAACUGGGCGUAAAGGGCACGCAGGCGGUUAUUUAAGUGAGGUGUGAAAGCCCUGGGCUUAACCUAGGAAUUGCAUUUCAGACUGGGUAACUAGAGUACUUUAGGGAGGGGUAGAAUUCCACGUGUAGCGGUGAAAUGCGUAGAGAUGUGGAGGAAUACCGAAGGCGAAGGCAGCCCCUUGGGAAUGUACUGACGCUCAUGUGCGAAAGCGUGGGGAGCAAACAGGAUUAGAUACCCUGGUAGUCCACGCUGUAAACGCUGUCGAUUUGGGGGUUGGGGUUUAACUCUGGCGCCCGUAGCUAACGUGAUAAAUCGACCGCCUGGGGAGUACGGCCGCAAGGUUA